rnacentral:rRNA from 1 species
AUGGCUGCAAGGAGAACCAUUCUUCUUGCCAUGGCUGCCAUGGCCAUCCUGAGCACGGCGUCUGAGGCAACCUACAACAACUUCCAAACCGGCGACCAGAUCGUCUUCAAGUACUCCCCUCAGGCACACAACGUCCUCGAGGCCAGCAAGGCCGACUAUGACUCAUGUAGCACCGCCAGCCCCGUCACCAGCUUCAACUCCGGGAAUGAUGUUGCUAGCCUCACCGCCACCGGCACCCGCUACUUCAUCUGCGGUUUCCCUGGUCAUUGCGCGGGCGGCAUGAAGGUUAAGAUUGAUGUCAUGCCAGGCUCCUCCUCUACGUCACCCGCCCCGGCCAGCGGCCCAAGUGCAACCAACGCGCCCCCACCGACACCUGUCUCCACUGCCACCAAUGUGGAGGCCACUGGGUUUGGCCUCGCCGUUUUGCUUGCCAUUGUCGGCCUCAUGGCUUGA